UUUUUUUUUUUUUUUUAACAUUGCACACAUAAGUGAGAUAUGCACUGUUUGUCUGUGUCUAGCUUAUUUCAUUUAACAUAAUAUCCUCCAGGUCCAUCCAUGUUGUGGCAAAUGACAGGAUCUUUCUCUAUCUUUUUCUUUUUUUUGGUUGAGACAGGGUCUCCCUCUGUCACCCAGGCUGAAGUUAAGCCCAGGAGACAGAGGUUGCAGUGAACUGUGUUUGCUCACUGCAACCUCUGUCUCCUGGGCUUAAGUGACCCUCCCACCUCAUUUCCCUGAGUAGCUGGGACUGCAGGUGCAUGCCACUAUGCCUGGUUAAUUUUUGUAUGUUUUGUAUAGAUGGGGUUUCGCGAUGUUGCCCAGGCUGGUCUCCAACUCCUGGGCUUAAACCAUCCUUCUGCUUUCGCUUCCAAAAGUGCUGGGAUUACAGGCAUGGACUGCCAUGCCUAGCCCAGGGUCUUCUUUUUUUUUUUUGAGAUGGAGUUUUGCUCUUGUUGCCCAGGCUGGAGUGCAGUGGUGCGAUCUCAGCUCACUGCAACCUCCACCUCCCAGGUUCAAGUGAUUCUCCUGCCUCAGCCUCCCGAGUAGCUGGGGUUACAGGUGCAUGCCACCACGCCUGGAUAAUUUUUUGUAUUUCUAGUAGAGAUGGGGUUUCACCAUGUUGGUCAGUCUGGUCUUGAACUCCUGACCUCAAGUGAUCCACCCACCUCGGCCCCCCAAAGUACUGGGAUUACAGGUGUGAGCCACCGCGCCUGGCCAAGGGUCUUCUUUUUAAGGGUGAAUAAUGUUUUGUUGUGUGUGCGUGUGUGUGUGUGCGUAUGCCACAUUUUCUUUUUCCAUUCAUCUGUUGAUGGAGACUUAGAUUGUUUCCGUAUCUUGGCGAUUGGGAGUAAUGCCGCAGUGAAUAUUGGAGUGCAGAUGUCUUUAUGAGGUGUGAUUUGAUCUCCAUUGAGUAUGUGUCCAGAAGAGGGAUAGCUGGGUCUAUGUAAUGUAUACUGAUAAGCAGCACAGAGUGGGCACAUAGGAUAGCAUAGAUGCCAUUUUUCUCACAGAUAGUUUGCCGACCUCUUCCUAGAGUUACGUUUUUCUUGUUCCUGAGACAAUAAUGUGGCUGUAAGUACUAAUAGAGACAGUGGCAUUUGUGGGUUGCUUAUGAUCUGCCAGCCCCUGCGUUAAGUGUUCUCUGUGUCUGUUUCAGAUGGGUCUGCUGUGUGCAGAGGCUCCAUGGGAUGUGUUGUCUUCAUAGUAGCAGGGCGCUGGACCAUGGGUCCGCAAGGUGGGAUUUUUGGACUGUUGUCUGGAAUAUGUUUCUUUGCAUCCUGCAGAGUCAUGUGCUGUUCCUGGGGCUUGGAUGAUGUAGGGGAAGCAAGGUGAAAGUGGUAUCCCGUGGUUCCACGUUCUGUCCUGCUGUGGGGCUGUCCCUCACAUGCUUUCAGUGGCUGUUGCAGAGGAAGAGCCUCCGGAAAUCUGCGUGGGUAAAGUCUCAGCCUUAGAUCCAAGGACAGUCCAAGGAAGUCCUAAGACCAUGGAGUUGGUGAUCUGGGAUCUGGGUUUGCUGAUAUUUCUCACCGUGAAUCUCUUGGUGGUGUUUGUGGGCACGAGAGGGGCAGAGAAUGGAGAGUGAGGCUACCACAUGAAGCGUCACCAGAGCUGCUCCCUGCUGCCUGCUCAGAGCACCCCGGAUCCACUGUUCAAUCUGCACAAGAUUCGGGGUCCAGACAUGGGAGACUUCAGCUGCCUCAGAGGACCGUGGACAGGGAAGGCCAGCCUCGCAUCCCUCUGUCCAUGCCUGGAAUGACUUUAAUAACCAAGAGUUUUAUUUUUGAAUUUGUAGCUGUCGUUCACUUUUUACCCACCCAUUCAAUAAACCUUACAGAAUUGCUC
ensembl:lncRNA SNHG17 small nucleolar RNA host gene 17